rnacentral:rRNA from 1 species
CAGAGGUCUCAAGCGUUGUUCGGAUUCAUUGGGCGUAAAGGGUGCGUAGGCGGCGAGGUAAGUCGGAUGUGAAAUCCCGGGGCUCAACCCCGGAACUGCAUUCGAUACUGCUUUGCUUGAGUACUGGAGAGGAGACUGGAAUUUACGGUGUAGCAGUGAAAUGCGUAGAUAUCGUAAGGAAGACCAGUGGCGAAGGCGAGUCUCUGGACAGUUACUGACGCUGAGGCACGAAGGCCAGGGGAGCAAACGGGAUUAGAUACCCCGGUAGUCCUGGCAGUAAACGGUGCACGUUUGGUGUGGGAGGAUUCGACCCCUUCCGUGCCGGAGCUAACGCGUUAAACGUGCCGCCUGGGGAGUACGGUCGCAAGAUUA